AAACUGAAGAGUUUGAUCCUGGCUCAGAUUGAACGCUAGCGGGAUGCUUUACACAUGCAAGUCGAACGGCAGCGCGAGAGAGCUUGCUCUCUUGGCGGCGAGUGGCGGACGGGUGAGUAAUAUAUCGGAACGUGCCCAGUAGCGGGGGAUAACUACUCGAAAGAGUGGCUAAUACCGCAUACGCCCUACGGGGGAAAGGGGGGGAUCGCAAGACCUCUCACUAUUGGAGCGGCCGAUAUCGGAUUAGCUAGUUGGUGAGGUAAAGGCUCACCAAGGCAACGAUCCGUAGCUGGUUUGAGAGGACGACCAGCCACACUGGGACUGAGACACGGCCCAGAC
rnacentral:rRNA from 1 species